rnacentral:lncRNA from 1 species
UUUGAUGUAAGCACACUCAUUUGGAACCAUGCAUAAUUUGGCCAAAGGUAACAAACAAGGUAAGCAACUCCAACAAAAUUCACCGGAAAAAACCAUGCAUUGCAUACUUUGAAAAGGACCAAACCGCAUCAUCCAAGACGCCUCUCUCGUUAACCACCACCAUACCACACCAACCACAGGUAGCAAAACAACUUGCGCUACAGACCAUCACCAUCUCAAGUCUCAGAUUCUGUCGAAGCAGGCAGCUAACAAGGCAAAGGCAAGGCUGUUCGGCGACGUCGGAAACUUAUUAUCAUCAUCAUCAUCAUACCACACCAACCACAGGCAGGUCCAUGUGCAGUAAGGAAGUAAAAACCAGGGCGGGACGGAGACCGGCCGAUCAGUCGACGACCUCCUCCGUCUUCUUGGGCUUGGACAGGAGGUACCAGCCCAGGGCGCUCAGGCCGGCGAGGGUGCCAGCCAGCACGGCGUAGUUCCUGUUCUUGUCGGUCGACGUGCCUGCUGCGGAUGCCGACGCGGUCGAAC